rnacentral:rRNA from 1 species
UACGGAGGGUGCGAGCGUUGUCCGGAAUCACUGGGCGUAAAGGGCGCGUAGGUGGCCUGUUGAAGUCUGCGGUGAAAGCCCGGCGCUCAACGCCGGGUCGGCCGUGGAUACUCUCGGGCUUGAGCUUACUAGAGGCAGAUGGAAUUCCGGGUGUAGCGGUGGAAUGCGUAGAGAUCCGGAAGAACACCGGUGGCGAAGGCGGUCUGCUGGGGUAAUGCUGACACUGAGGCGCGACAGCGUGGGGAGCAAACAGG